CAAUAUACUAAAUCAUUUUGGUGUUCAAUGCUAUACCCUCUAAAAAAUGGAACGUCAUUUAUUUGAAGACACAAUUCUCUGUAUGUGCACUUGCCAUGACUUUAUUUUUGAAUAUUUCUGUGUGCAUGUGGUAGGGAAAACAUUGUUGUAUACUACAAAUUCAGUGUUUUGCUUAUAGGUUGGAGACUACAUGAGAUUUUGACAGAUGGCGGGAAACCCUCAUCAACUGGAGAUCAGCCGGUAGAGGAAUGUCUGCGACUAAGCCGAGGGCCACUGCAUAAGGGUUAUUGAUGGCAAAACAGGUUGGAGACUACAUGAGAUUUUGACAGAUGGCGGGAAACCCUCAUCAACUGGAGAUCAGCCGGUAAAAAGGUGGCCUUAAAACAGUGACCGUUGAUUCGCGUCGAGUUCUUUCUUACAUACUGCAUGACCUAUCUUUUUUAUUGUUUAAAUCCAUUCGGCUUGGCAUGCUCUUUAAGAAAAGGUAUGGGUAUGGGGGUGUCUACGCGCAAAAGUUUGACUUUAUUUUUCGUUGAAGUUGUUGAUUUUACAUUGAAUUUGUUAAGGAAAUCUUUUGGUAUAUUGUAACCUAAACUAACUUUAGGUAAAAAUGAAAUAUCAUCUGCAAGUGCAAAAUAUGACUGGUAAAGCUGAUUUUUGGUCAUUUCUUAGCAAAAGAGAAGAUUAUAAGUGCAUUAAAUGCAUGAAUUCAGAUGAUUUGACCCAAAAUAGUUGUUUUUCAAGUUGACCCUCCACCCUUAUAUAGCCGAAUAAGGGCUAAAUUGCUUUCCAACUUAAGUUCAAAGGCAUAUUGGUUGACCGUGUAGCAUUAAUGUACUACAUGAUGUCAGAAUUCAACGCCUGGGUCUCCGUGAUCCAGUAACGCAACAAUAGCUUGUGCGUAAAGCAUUAACAUUCAAACAGAGCCCCAUUUCACCGAUAUGGAAUGGCGGACAUUUUUACA